AUUGAACGCUGGCGGCAGGCUUAACACAUGCAAGUCGAGCGGGGGAAGGUAGCUUGCUACCGGACCUAGCGGCGGACGGGUGAGUAAUGCUUAGGAAUCUGCCUAUUAGUGGGGGACAACAUCUCGAAAGGGAUGCUAAUACCGCAUACGUCCUACGAGAGAAAGCGGGGGAUCUUCGGACCUUGCGCUAAUAGAUGAGCCUAAGUCGGAUUAGCUAGUUGGUGGGGUAAAGGCCUACCAAGGCGACGAUCUGUAGCGGGUCUGAGAGGAUGAUCCGGCACACUGGGACUGAGACACGGCCCAGACUCCUACGGGAGGCAGCAGUGGGGAAUAUUGGACAAUGGGGGGAACCCUGAUCCAGCCAUGCCGCGUGUGUGAAGAAGGCCUUAUGGUUGUAAAGCACUUUAAGCGAGGAGGAGGCUAUUCUAGUUAAUACCUAGGGAUAGUGGACGUUACUCGCAGAAUAAGCACCGGCUAACUCUGUGCCAGCCGCCGCAGUAA
rnacentral:rRNA from 1 species